CAUGUACUCUCUCCGUCCAGAAAUACUUGUCAUCAAAAUGGACAAAAAAUGAUGUAUUUAGAACUAAAAUAUGUCUAGAUACAUCUCCUUUUAUCCAUUUUGAUGACAAGUAUUUUCGGACGGAAGGAGUAUGUA
rnacentral:pre_miRNA from 1 species